rnacentral:tRNA from 1 species
GGAGGCGUGGCAGAGUGGUCGAAUGCAGCGGACUUGAACUCCGCCGAACCCAAUAGGUUCCGUCCGUUCGAAUCGGACCGUCUCCGCCA